AGUUGGCGGGGUAAUGGUCCACCAAGGCAACGAUGCGUAGCCGACCUGAGAGGGUGAUCGGCCACAUUGGGACUGAGACACGGCCCAAACUCCUACGGGAGGCAGCAGUAGGGAAUCUUCCGCAAUGGACGAAAGUCUGACGGAGCAACGCCGCGUGAGUGAAGAAGGCCUUCGGGUCGUAAAACUCUGUUGCCGGGGAAGAACAAGUGCCGUUCGAACAGGGCGGCGCCUUGACGGUACCCGGCCAGAAAGCCACGGCUAACUACGUGCCAGCAGCCGCGGUAAUACGUAGGUGGCAAGCGUUGUCCGGAAUUAUUGGGCGUAAAGCGCGCGCAGGCGGCUUCUUAAGUCUGAUGUGAAAUCUUGCGGCUCAACCGCAAGCGGUCAUUGGAAACUGGGAGGCUUGAGUGCAGAAGAGGAGAGUGGAAUUCCACGUGUAGCGGUGAAAUGCGUAGAGAUGUGGAGGAACACCAGUGGCGAAGGCGGCUCUCUGGUCUGUAACUGACGCUGAGGCGCGAAAGCGUGGGGAGCAAACAGGAUUAGAUACCCUGGUAGUCCACGCCGUAAACGAUGAGUGCUAAGUGUUAGAGGGUUUCCGCCCUUUAGUGCUGCAGCUAACGCAUUAAGCACUCCGC
rnacentral:rRNA from 1 species